rnacentral:rRNA from 1 species
UAGGGAAUCUUCGGCAAUGGGGGGAACCCUGACCGAGCAACGCCGCGUGAGUGAAGAAGGUUUUCGGAUCGUAAAGCUCUGUUGUUAAGGAAGAACGAGUGUGAGAAUGGAAAGUUCAUACUGUGACGGUACUUAACCAGAAAGGGACGGCUAACUACGUGCCAGCAGCCGCGGUAAUACGUAGGUCCCGAGCGUUGUCCGGAUUUAUUGGGCGUAAAGCGAGCGCAGGCGGUUAGAAAAGUCUGAAGUGAAAGGCAGUGGCUCAACCAUUUAGGCUUUGGAAACUGUUUAACUUGAGUGCAGAAGGGGAGAGUGGAAUUCCAUGUGUAGCGGUGAAAUGCGUAGAUAUAUGGAGGAACACCGGUGGCGAAAGCGGCUCUCUGGUCUGUAACUGACGCUGAGGCUCGAAAGCGUGGGGAGCGAACAGG